ACCCAGUAUCACGUGUGACAUGUCUGACUGGAUAUUCUACUUUUUAACAGAACAUGGCUGGGCAACAGGAGGAGGGUCCAUCAACUUCCACAGCACAGAUGAACACAUUACCUGUGAAGGACCUGUAUAAAAUGAAUCUGAUAAAACAAAU